rnacentral:rRNA from 1 species
CGGAGGGUGCAAGCGUUGUUCGGAAUCACUGGGCGUAAAGCGCGCGCAGGCGGGACGUGCAAGUCGGAAGUGAAAUCUCGGGGCUCAACUCCGAGGCUGCUCCCGAUACUGCCGACCUGGAGACCAGUAGAGGUGGGUAGAAUUCCCGGUGUAGCGGUGGAAUGCGUAGAGAUCGGGAAGAAUACCUGUGGCGAAGGCGGCCCACUGGGCUGGAUCUGACGCUGAGGCGCGAAAGCGUGGGGAGCAAACAGGAUUAGAUACCCUGGUAGUCCACGCCGUAAACGAUGGGCACUAGGUGCUGGGGGGAACGACCCCUUCGGUGCCGCAGCUAACGCGAUAAGUGCCCCGCCUGGGGAGUACGGCCGCAAGGCUG